UACGGGGGGGGCAAGCGUUGUUCGGAAUUACUGGGCGUAAAGGGCGCGUAGGCGGCCUGUUAAGUCGAACGUGAAAUCCCCGGGCUCAACCCGGGAACUGCGUCCGAGACUGCGGGGCUUGAAUGCGGGAGAGGGAAGCGGAAUUCCUGGUGUAGAGGUGAAAUUCGUAGAUAUCAGGAGGAACACCGGUGGCGAAAGCGG
rnacentral:rRNA from 1 species